rnacentral:rRNA from 1 species
AUUGAACGCUGGCGGCAGGCCUAACACAUGCAAGUCGAGCGGAUGAAGGGAGCUUGCUCCUGGAUUCAGCGGCGGACGGGUGAGUAAUGCCUAGGAAUCUGCCUGGUAGUGGGGGAUAACGUCCGGAAACGGGCGCUAAUACCGCAUACGUCCUGAGGGAGAAAGUGGGGGAACUUCGGACCUCACGCUAUCAGAUGAGCCUAGGUCGGAUUAGCUAGUUGGUGGGGUAAAGGCCUACCAAGGCGACGAUCCGUAACUGGUCUGAGAGGAUGAUCAGUCACACUGGAACUGAGACACGGUCCAGACUCCUACGGGAGGCAGCAGUGGGGAAUAUUGGACAAUGGGCGAAAGCCUGAUCCAGCCAUGCCGCGUGUGUGAAGAAGGUCUUCGGAUUGUAAAGCACUUUAAGUUGGGAGGAAGGGCAGUAAGUUAAUACCUUGCUGUUUGGACGUUACCAACAGAAUAAGCACCGGCGAACUUCGU